rnacentral:rRNA from 1 species
AGUAAAUAGAUACCCAGGUAGUCCACGCCGUAAACGAUGAGUACUAGGUGUAGGAGGUAUCGAUUCCUUCUGUGCCGCAGUUAAACACAAUAAGUACUCCGCCUGGGAAGUACGGUCGCAAGAUUAAAACUCAAAGGAAUUGACGGGGGCCCGCACAAGCAGCGGAGCAUGUGGUUUAAUUCGAAGCAACGCGAAGAACCUUACCUAGACUUGACAUCUCCUGAAUAGUGUAGAGAUACAUGAAGCCCUUCGGGGCAGGAAGACAGGUGGUGCAUGGUUGUCGUCAGCUCGUGUCGUGAGAUGUUGGGUUAAGUCCCGCAACGAGCGCAACCCUUAUUACUAGUUGCUACCAUUAAGUUGAGCACUCUAGUGAGACUGCCC